rnacentral:lncRNA from 1 species
UGUUCUAUCAGCAGUAUCUUCAUAGAGCUUUCCGUAUUUCUCUGUUCUAUCAACGACAUCUUCAUACCGCUUUCCGUACUUUUCUGUUCUAUCAGCAGCAUCUUCAUACCGCUUUCCGUACUUCUCUGUUCUAUCAGCAGCAUUUUCAUACCGCUUUCCGUACUUCUCGGUUCUAUCAGCAACAUCUUCAUACCGCUUUCCGUACUUCUCUGUUCUAUCAGCAGCAUCUUCAUACCUCUUCCCGUACUUCUCUGUUCUAUCAGCAGUAUCUUCAUAGCACUUUCCGUAUUUCUCUAUUCUAUCAGCAGCAUCUUCAUACCGCUUUCCG